CAGAUGUGUGGACUGUCUGACAGCUUCAUCUCUGAGAUAAAUAGUAAAUGCUUGGUGGCAAAUGCAGAGGAGCAGGGAAUGCAGACGUCUCGCUCUGUUAUGUUACACGGACUGGAAAGCAGAUGCUAUUAUUAUUCCUGGUGUACAAAUGGAUCGCAGAGCUUGCAAACUCAAUCAAGGAGAGGCUCAGCUGACCUGAAGUCAGGGCACUUGAUUCCGUGGAGCAGAGAGGCAGCUCUUCACGGAUGGACGCGGAUUCCCCCACAGCGUGAAUCUGCCUUUAAUUGCAUAGCUGGGAGUGAUCAGACAAGUUCUAUCGCAUGCCUCCACCGCAAUCGCCUUCGGCUCUGGGAGACUCCACCAGCACCUCCUGGCGCUGGAUGGAGGGCAGGGAAGGAAGACAGAGGCCGCCUCUGGUCCCCUCUUCGCAGCCCCACUCUGCUGAGCGCUGGAGAUCCACGCAGUGGGUUGGCCCUCCAGGCCUUGAGCCAGCCCUGACCCAGGCAGCACGCUGCUAGGUAGCAUCUGGACUCGUGUUUGUGUCUGAAGCCUGGCGGGGACUCUGCUGCAAACUCCCCCGCCCAAGUAGGGAGAUCCUAGUCUUGGCUCCAGGCUGGGCCCCUGGCUGGACUCGCUCAUUUUUGGAAACAUAAGCUUGAGCUGAGGGGUUGGCCCUACGGGAAGCUAGCCGCAGAGCCCUGGGAACUUGUGGAAAAUAACUCACUUGAGGAAGGAAGGAGCCAGGCCCAGCGAGCUGACUCUGUGACAGGUGGCUUUGUGGAGUGGCCUGGCACCCGGAGACUCAUGUGUGGUACCCAGAUAGCUAGGGAGAGAGAGGGUGUGUGUGCCGCAAAUACAAAUAAUGGGGCUGAUUGACCUAAAAAACAGGGCACACGCACUGCUCUGGCUGUCAGAGCAGCCACCGGGCCCAGGGGGAGCACACCAGGGCUGGCCAUGCGGUGGCAGCUGACUUCUUGAGCGCGCUCAGACAUGGCCGUCCUCCCAAGGUCGCAGUGAGGCCUGUAGACCCAGUAGUGCGCCUACUGGCCAUGCGGCGACCACCUCUCUCAGCAGCAGGGCAUCUGAGGCAGCUUUCAGGCUCCGGAGACCUGGGUUCUAAUCUUGCUCCUGACACUGCCCUGCUGUGUGACGUGGGGCAAGUUCAUCAAAGACUCUCGGCCUGGGAUGGGAAUGCUGCUGCCCACUGGGUGGUUUUAAAAUACGUCUGCAAAUUCUUGGAUGCUCCUCCCUUCAAGAGGUGGGGCCUGGUUUCCCUCUCCUUAACUGCGGGCCAGACUUAGUGACUCACUUCCAGCUAAUAGGAUAAAGCAGCAGCGAUGGCGUGUGCCCUCGGAGACCGGGUCACAAAGGGCACUGUGGCUUCCUGCCUGUGCCCUCUCUUGCUCCUGGAUCUCUCGCUCUAGGGGAAACCAGCUGCCAUGUCAUGAAGAGAGGCCCACUGGUGAAGAACUGAGCCUCCAGCCAAGAGCCAUGUGAGGGCGCCAUCUUCGAACUGGAUCUUCCAGCCCCAGCCAACCUCUCGGCCACAAAUUCAUGAGACAGCCUGAACGAGAACCACCUAGGCAAGCUGCUCCCGAAGUCCUGACCCAUGGAAACUGUGAGAUAAGAAAUGUUUGUUGUUUUAAUCCAGUAAAUUUGGGGGUAAUUUGUCACACAGCAAUAGAUAACUGACAUAUACACCUGUCUCAGGUGUUUGUCAGGAUUCACUGGGACAACAUACACAAAGGGCAAGAGUCUGGCAGAUGCUGUCUGAUUAACUUCUUUCGACUCAGAGGUCUCAGUGGUCCCCUCCCCAUGGGGUGCUAAGCUUUGCACUGUGGGUUAUGCCCAUUCAGGGACCGGCCCUCCAGUCAGUUUCCUGGCUCCUUCCCUUUCCCCCCAGCACGCCUCCUGGCCUUGCCCACCGGAGACACUGUCACACUGUGGGGGCCCACUCUCUCUUUUAUCCAAAGCAUCAAAGAAAUUGGUUAGCAUCGGUUUAGUCCACAUCCGGCAGCAAUAUUGUGCACCGACCUCUGGGACGGACUGUAAACCAGUGCUCACCACUUCUUGCUCAAAAGCCUCCGGUGGGUUUUACACUUAGAGUAAAAAUCCAACCUGUUACCACGGCUACAGGACUCACGAUAGCUCCACUCCACCCCCUCUGCAUGACUGUUUAUGAUGCCCCAGGCUCCCCACUUCCUUGUGCCCCUCAGACAUGCCAAACCUCCUCCCUUUUGUUUCUUCCACGCAGAACAUUCUCCUGCCAGACCUUCACAAGGCUGCAGCCUUCCCAUUAUUUUGAGCUCCACUCACCGUCAGCUCCUUGGAACCCCACCCCACCUCAGGUCCUCUCCACCACAUUAUCUUAUUUUAUUCUUUUUAUCACCAGCUAAAAUGACCUGUCAGCUGGUUGGUUCACUGAAGCCCAUGCUGGUGUGGCCACUCCUGGGGAGCAGAGCUUUGCUGUGCUGACUCCAGGGGAUAGCACCGUGCUGGGUACCCACAAGCCACAAUGUUUGUGGGCCACAUGGCUUUUUCAAUAUCAAUCAAAUUCUCUUUUGAAAGCUUUGGAGGCAGCUUUUUUCAUGAGGAACUCUCUGGAAAAUCCUUCCACAAAGGGAAUAAAUCACCUUCAGACUUUCCAA